CAAAGCUGAAAGUAGUUGGUUGUUGUUAGCUAGCUACUGUUUUUGACAAUCCCAAAUGUAAUCAUCUUCCAUCAGUCGUCAUCCUGUCUUUCAUAGCUCAUAUGCUGGCACGAUGUGUAAGCUUAACUUUCCUUUAUGUUUUAUGAAUACUUUCAUGUUGUUGUUUAGCCAUUUCUAUGACUUUUACCAGAUCUAAAAGAUUGCUAGCCAAAACAGUAUUGCAUUUAGACUAGCUGUUUGCUAUCCCCAUUGAAAUGUAGCUAUGUAUCCUCUGUUUUCGUCAUGCUAGCUAAUAAGUAUGUGUGUUUCUAUGCAAAUGUACAGUAUGUUCAUAUUGAUAUACGUACCCAUUCUACUUACUGUAUGUCUUUCGACCUGUUGCCAAGGAGACCCUCGACAUGAGAAGACUGGAGGCCAUUGUUGGUUACAUGGUGGAGAAGUGUGGCUGCGACAAAAAAGAGGAUUUGAAGAUAGGUUUCCAGUGAGAGUGCUUCCUGGCCCAAGACCAAUCCACAUCCAGGUCUCAGGCAUCAACACAUCAACCCUCUCAGUUAUUGGAAGAGAGUUUCUCUUGCGAUGAUCGUGGACUUCAGGAAACAACAGAGGGAGCACCUCCCUAUCCACAUCGAUGGGACUGCAGUGGAGAAGGUGGAAAGCUUCAAGUUCCUCGGCAUACACAUCACUGACAAACUGAAAUGGUCCACCGACACAGACAGUGUGGUGAAGAAGGCGCAACAGUUCCUCUUCAACCUCAGGAGGUUAAGAAAUUUGGCUUGGCCCCUAAGACCCUCACAAACUUGUACAGAUGCACAAUUGAGAGCAUCCUGUCGGGCUGUAUCACCGCCUGGUACGGCAACUGCACCGCCCACAACCGCAAAGCUCUCCAGUCUGCCCAACGCAUUAGCGGAGGCAAAUUUCCUGCCCUCCUGGACACCUACAGCACCCACGAUGCCAUAGGAAGGCCAAACAGAUCAUCAAGAACCUCAACCACCAGAGCCACUGCCUGUUCACCCCGCUAUCAUCCAGAAGGUGAGGUCAGUACAGGUGCAUCAAAGCUGGGACCGAGAGACUGAAAAACAGCUUCUAUCUCAGGGACAUCAGACUGUUAAACAGCCAUCACUAGCACAUCAGAGGCGGCUGCCUAUAGACAUAGAUUAUGAAUCACUGGCCACUUUUAGAAAUGGAUCACUAGCCACUUUAAUAAUGUUCUGUAUCUAGCGUUACUCAUCUCAAAUGUAUAAACUGCACUCCACACUAUUCUACGGUAUCUUAGUCACUUUUAAAUUGUGUUUACAUAUUGCAUCACCCAUUUCAUAUGUAUAUACUGUAUUGUAUUCUAUACUACACCACUGACUGUUAAACAGCCAUCUCCAGCACAUCAGAGGCUGCUGCCUAUAGACAUAGAUUAGGAAUCACUGGCCACUUUAAGGAAAUGAAACACUAGCCACUUUAAUAAUGUCUCCAUAUCUUGCAUUACUCAUCUCAUAUGUGUAAACUGUACUCUAUACUAUUCUACGGUAUCUUAGUCACUUUUAAAUUGUGUUUACAUAUUGCAUCACCCAUUUCAUAUGUAUAUACUGUAUUGUAUUCUAUACUACACCACUGACUGUUAAACAGCCAUCUCCAGCACAUCAGAGGCUGCUGCCUAUAGACAUAGAUUAGGAAUCACUGGCCACUUUAAGGAAAUGAAACACUAGCCACUUUAAUAAUGUCUCCAUAUCUUGCAUUACUCAUCUCAUAUGUGUAAACUGUACUCUAUACUAUUCUACGGUAUCUUCGUCACUUUAAUUGUGUGUAAAUUUCGCAUCACCCAUCUCAUAUGUAUAUACUGUACUCUGUACUAUGCCCCUGUAACUUAGUCCAGUGCCGCUCUGACAUAUAUGUAUAUAUAUAUAUUCUUAAUCCAUUCCUUACUUAGAUUUACGUGUACUUUGGGUAUAUGUUGUGAAACUGUUAGAUAUUACUGCACUGUCGGAGCUAGAAACACAAGCAUUUCGCUACACCCGCAAUAACAUCUGCUAAACACAAGGAAUGUGAACAAUAAAAUUUUAUUUUAUUUUAUUUGACCCCAUUUUCAAAUCAUGCGACCCCAUAUGGGACCACGACCCAUAGUUUGGGAAACGGCGCAGUAGUGAAACAAGACGAUGUCAAUAGUGAUUUUGAAUAAGCAAACAGCAGUAAAUGUGUCAUUUUUCAAUAGUAAUUGAAAAGGGUUUAUGUAGGAAAUGAAAAAUAAUCAGGAGCAAUUCAGUAGUGAUCAGUAGUGACAACACCACACACAGAAAUGGCC
rnacentral:lncRNA from 1 species